GCAGUUCCCACACCACUGCCACUGGCAGGAGGUUGAGUGGCAAUUCCCAAACAGCUGCUCUCUGCUCAGGCGCCGGGCCGCCCCCUGCCCAGUCCUUGCAGGCCGCCAGCCCCCCUCCAGCCGGGGCCGUGGAGCACCGGGGCAAAGGCCCGGCCCCCCCCAUGAAGGAGCGCGACGCGGCCCCGGCCGAGCGGGGCAAGCCGGCCACCUACACCGGGGACAAGAAGGCGAAGAUGGCGGCCAAGACCAACAAGAAGUGGGUCCGGCUCGCCACCGUGUUCGCCCUCGUGCUCUCCGUGUCGCUGGCCGCCAUCGUGCUCGCCGUCUACUACAGCCUCAUCUGGCAGCCGGUGGGUGCCGGGACCUCGGGGGGAGCCGCCGGCCCGCCCCCCGGCGGCUCCAACGCCACCGGCCCGCCCCCCGGCGGCUCCAACGCCACCGGCCCGUCCGUGACUUGGUGAGCGGCGGCGGUGACGGGGCCCAACACCACCGGGUCGUCCCGCCGCGGGACGCUCCCCCACUGCAGGGGGCGCGGCCGGCGCCUCCGGAGCUCCCUGCGGACAGCCCCCCGGUCGGGCCGCUUGAGCGGCCUCGGGGGCCGGACGAGGACGAGGAGGAAGCGGCGGCGGCGCCCGGGAGUCGUUGAAGCCCUCGGCGCUGGGGGCGGCCGGGAACCAUCCUCCCCAAGCCGAGAGGAAGGACUUCGCAUCAGGAUGGGGUGGAGAGCCCGCGGGAGUGACCCCCACGGGAGUGAACGCCCCCCGAACUCCCACCAUCGCCGGCUGGUCCCGGAGCUGGCGGCCCGCAGCCACAUCUUCAGCCAAGGGACCACGAUUCUCCGGGGGCCUGGGGGGCUGGGGGGCUGCUGCCCAGGACCGGGCGGCACCAGGGCCCUGAGCCCUAGGGGGAUGGGGGAGGGGUGGGGAGAUCCCAGCACCAAAACCUUCUGCGCCGCUAGGUCUGGUGUAUCCUACAUGCAGGGGUGACUCGGGCUUUCCCCCAAGACUCAGGGGAAGGAGGGAGCUGUAGGAGCUCUUUUUAAGUAAGCUGAAGCUCUCGAAAGGAGGAGGGCACCAAAAGUAGUGGAGCUCAGGUACAUCAACCUAGUUUCAGUGGUCAGAGAUGCAUUAAAUUUCUAGAUCCCUGUAUAUAGUUGCUGACAUAUGCACUAGAAGCUAUAAUCACAUAGAAUUCUAUGUAUAUCCUCCCACACCCUGGGUAGCUACUGACUGAAGGGGCCAAGCAAGGGCUAUUUGCUGGCCCCCAAAGUACACCUGGCCGGAAGGGCACAAACACGGCUUCUUAAAAUCACUCCCUCUUUCCUCUCUUCCCCUUCUAUUUCUGAAAGACAAGUUUAUGACGUUCUUACACAAGAGAGUAUAAUCAUUCUUAGACUGUUAACAUGGCUGUGGAAAGCCUUAGGAGAAGUAG